rnacentral:sRNA from 1 species
AUAUUUGUCUUGCAACGAAGGCCGACAUUUCUGAUCGUGAACAUUGUUCUGCCCAUUGUGUUCCUCUCUUUCCUUAACAUUCUGGUCUUCGUUAUCCCGGCUGAUUCAGGGGAGAAAAUUGGAUACGGUAUAACGGUCCUUCUGGCAUUGUCCGUAUUCAUGAGCACCGUCAGUGGUAUGCUGCCCAGUUCGUCUCUCAAAAUGGCCAAGCUGACCAUCUAUAUAUUAAUCCUUCUUAUCAUCUCUAUGCUGACCGUGAUUGUUAGUAUCAUCAUUGUAUUUCUGGCCAGUAUGGAAGAG